GAAGACCCUGUACGGCAAGAAGAGUCUGCAUCAGCAGAAGCCCCUACAAUGGCUCCAGAACCAGCGGGGAGCAGUGGCAUGGUGCAACCUCGCCCGAACAGCCAGCCAGGAGCACGGGUUCAACGUCGCAGAAGGCGGAGGGUGCCGAUCAACAUUGCACAGCAGAUUUUAGCGGCUCAGAGAACUCUUGUUGACCGCAUUGACCGACUCACCGAGGCAAUGACACCCAUCAGCGAGUACUACAGGCUGAAGCUGGAGAGAAUGAGGCAACAAAAUGUGCCAUAGUCCGGAGGGUAUUCUAGUAUGUUGUGUGCUCAC